GCCUUUACACAAGAAUGGAAAUGUUAUUAAAGGGGUAAAGUUGAAGUACCUGCUUCUGAAGAAAUUUUUAUACACUCUUGCGUACAGAAAUUGAUUUAGUCAUACUUUAUUCGAAAUCAAGUUACACAAUUUCAGUAACGAACAAAUUUUUAGUCCCUGGCAUGGUAACCGACAGAUGGAGGUUGCCAAAUGCCAUAAUAAGUCAACGAGGGAGGUUAACUUUUGGAACUGCGCAUCAGUGUCCCACCCACCACCCUCCAGCUCCGGUUUCUUUUGCAGAGGGCUUCGUUUUCAUUCGUAGUGAUUGUGAUUCAUCCCUUCACCUUAAUCAUCAUCAGUUCUUCCUUUUCGUCAUUGAUAUUUGAUUCUCUUUUAAUUUUUACCCUUGAAGUUGCAAUUCUCUCACUGGUACUAGCUAUAUGACCUGCAUGAAUUACUGUGACUAGGUGAGGGUUUCGAUGACCUGUAAUUUUUCUGACCCCAGCAUUAAGUAGCUGAACCGCCUUUGAUCCCUCGGGUCUGAUCUGGUUUGUUCGUAUGGUGGGGUCCAUUUCGUUUGUGUUGUGUUGUGACUUGUGAGCAGUAUUGUGCCGGAGCUGUGGGAAAUUGUGUUGUUCGAGAUGGAGACCAGUUCUUCUCUUUGCUGUAAAGGGUGAAAUUUGUAUUCAAUUCAACUCUGUUCUGUACUCUGUACUCUGUAUCUCAUUAAUUACCCUGCAAUUAUUAUGAAUUUACUGCCUACUA